rnacentral:rRNA from 1 species
GGGGUGACUGCGUACCUUUUGUAUAAUGGGUCAGCGACUUAUAUUCUGUAGCAAGGUUAACCGCAUAGGGGAGCCGAAGGGAAACCGAGUCUUAACCGGGCGUUAAGUUGCAGGGUAUAGACCCGAAACCCGGUGAUCUAGCCAUGGGCAGGUUGAAGGUUGGGUAACACUAACUGGAGGACCGAACCGACUAAUGUUGAAAAAUUAGCGGAUGACCUGUGGCUGGGGGUGAAAGGCCAAUCAAACCGGGAGAUAGCUGGUUCUCCCCGAAAGCUAUUUAGGUAGCGCCUCGUGAAUUCAUCUCCGGGGGUAGAGCACUGUUUCGGCUAGGGGGCCAUCCCGGCUUACCAACCCGAUGCAAACUGCGAAUACCGGAGAAUGUUAUCACGGGAGACACACGGCGGGUGCUAACGUCCGUCGUGAAGAGGGAAACAACCCAGACCGCCAGCUAAGGUCCCAAAGUCAUGGUUAAGUGGGAAACGAUGUGGGAAGGCCCAGACAGCCAGGAUGUUGGCUUAGAAGCAGCCAUCAUUUAAAGAAAGCGUAAUAGCUCACUGGUCGAGUCGGCCUGCGCGGAAGAUGUAACGGGGCUAAACCAUGCACCGAAGCUGCGGCAGCGACACUUUAGUGUUGUUGGGUAGGGGAGCGUUCUGUAAGCCGUUGAAGGUGUCCUGUGAGGGGUGCUGGAGGUAUCAGAAGUGCGAAUGCUGACAUAAGUAACGAUAAAGCGGGUGAAAAGCCCGCUCGCCGGAAGACCAAGGGUUCCUGUCCAACGUUAAUCGGGGCAGGGUGAGUCGACCCCUAAGGCGAGGCCGAAAGGCGUAGUCGAUGGGAAACGGGUUAAUAUUCCCGUACUUGGUGUUACUGCGAAGGGGGGACGGAGAAGGCUAUGUUGGCCGGGCGACGGUAGUCCCGGUUUAAGCGUGUAGGCUGGUUUUCCAGGCAAAUCCGGAAAAUCAAGGCUGAGGCGUGAUGACGAGGCACCACGGUGCUGAAGCAACAAAUGCCCUGCUUCCAGGAAAAGCCUCUAAGCAUCAGGUAACAUCAAAUCGUACCCCAAACCGACACAGGUGGUCAGGUAGAGAAUACCAAGGCGCUUGAGAGAACUCGGGUGAAGGAACUAGGCAAAAUGGUGCCGUAACUUCGGGAGAAGGCACGCUGACACGUAGGUGAAGUGAUUUACUCACGGAGCUGAAGUCAGUCGAAGAUACCAGCUGGCUGCAACUGUUUAUUAAAAACACAGCACUGUGCAAACACGAAAGUGGACGUAUACGGUGUGACGCCUGCCCGGUGCCGGAAGGUUAAUUGAUGGGGUCAGCGCAAGCGAAGCUCCUGAUCGAAGCCCCGGUAAACGGCGGCCGUAACUAUAACGGUCCUAAGGUAGCGAAAUUCCUUGUCGGGUAAGUUCCGACCUGCACGAAUGGCGUAAUGAUGGCCAGGCUGUCUCCACCCGAGACUCAGUGAAAUUGAACUCGCUGUGAAGAUGCAGUGUACCCGCGGCAAGACGGAAAGACCCCGUGAACCUUUACUAUAGCUUGACACUGAACAUUGAGCCUUGAUGUGUAGGAUAGGUGGGAGGCUUUGAAGCGUGGACGCCAGUCUGCGUGGAGCCGACCUUGAAAUACCACCCUUUAAUGUUUGAUGUUCUAACGUGGACCCGUAAUCCGGGUUGCGGACAGUGUCUGGUGGGUAGUUUGACUGGGGCGGUCUCCUCCUAAAGAGUAACGGAGGAGCACGAAGGUUGGCUAAUCCUGGUCGGACAUCAGGAGGUUAGUGCAAUGGCAUAAGCCAGCUUGACUGCGAGCGUGACGGCGCGAGCAGGUGCGAAAGCAGGUCAUAGUGAUCCGGUGGUUCUGAAUGGAAGGGCCAUCGCUCAACGGAUAAAAGGUACUCCGGGGAUAACAGGCUGAUACCGCCCAAGAGUUCAUAUCGACGGCGGUGUUUGGCACCUCGAUGUCGGCUCAUCACAUCCUGGGGCUGAAGUAGGUCCCAAGGGUAUGGCUGUUCGCCAUUUAAAGUGGUACGCGAGCUGGGUUUAGAACGUCGUGAGACAGUUCGGUCCCUAUCUGCCGUGGGCGCUGGAAGAUUGAGGGGGGCUGCUCCUAGUACGAGAGGACCGGAGUGGACGCAUCACUGGUGUUCGGGUUGUCAUGCCAAUGGCACUGCCCGGUAGCUAAAUGCGGAAAAGAUAAGUGCUGAAAGCAUCUAAGCACGAAACUUGCCCCGAGAUGAGUCUUCCCUGAGACUUUGAGUCUCCUGAAGGAACGUUAAAGACGAUGACGUUGAUAGGCCGGGUGUGUAAGCGCAGCGAUGCGUUGAGCUAACCGGUACUAAUGAACCGUGAGGCUUAACCUUACAACGCCGAAG